ACCUGAUUAGAAGUUAUUAGACAAGUCUGGAGAGAAGAGCAGCAAAGUAAAGCCUUACUGCGGAGGAAGGAGGCUUUCACCCAACAGCCAGGAGGUGAUGCCGUCUCCUGCCCACCUUCACAUCCUCGCACCCUCACCUCCACGGAUCCCAAACCUGAAGAGGCCAUCCGCUACCUGGGCUGUCAAUGCUCAGGGGUGAGAAGAGUAGUGUGGCCUUGGAUGAGCAAGCUGGCACUAGCAGAGGACUGAGAGGACCUGAGGACAGUGCACUCUGAUGGGAAGAGGAGGAAAGUGUCGGCACUGGGCUCGAGGGCCCCCCAAGGAGGCAGGGGAACCUUGUGGGAUGGUGCUAAGUUACAGCCCACUCUUGGCACAGCCAAUAUGGCCAGACAACCUGCCUGGGAAACUUUGGCUUGGGGAAACCAGUCUGUUUCGGUGAAGUAAAGAGCUGAGAGUGGAACAAGAAGGAAGAGGGUACAACAGCUAACCCCCAGCCCGCCCUGGAGAGAAGACUCAAGAAUCAAGGGCACCCGUCAGAGCUGGAAGCCAUAAAUGCCCAGGUAUCUAGGCAAAGCCUGGGAUUAAUCACCCACCAUAAAAGCAGCACACUGAGGUGGGCGGGGGAGUCUCCUCAAAAGUGAGCUUCCCCAAAGCUGCCUUCUGUACCCUAUCAAUAAACAAUUCAUUUCGGCCCUCCCCACCCGGGCCCUACCUGCUGGAGUAGAAGGA